rnacentral:rRNA from 1 species
GUCUAUAGCCAUGCUACCUUGAACAUGCCUGAUCUCAUCUGAUCUUGGAAGUUAAGCAGCAUCGGGCCUGGUUAGUACUUGGAUGGGAGACCACCUUGGAAUACUGGGUGCUGUAGGCU